GGGCUUACGGUGGAUACCUAGGCACACAGAGGCGAAGAAGGACGUGGUUACCGACGAUAUACUCCGGGGAGUUGGAAGCAAACAUUGAGCCGGAGGUUUCCGAAUGGGGCAACCCUAAAUACUACCUGUUGAAUAUAUAGACAGGAAAGAGCCAACCCAGCGAACUGAAACAUCUUAGUAGCUGGAGGAAGAGAAAUCAAAAGAGAUUCCCUGAGUAGUGGUGAGCGAAAGGGGAAAAGCCUAAACCAAAAGAUUUAUCCUUUGGGGUAGUGGGACAGCGAUAUCGAAUCUGGCGGUUAGACGAAGCAGCUAAAUACUGCACCAAAGAAGGUGAAAGUCCUGUAGUCGAAAACUCAAGGAUAGUAGCUGAAUCCCGAGUAGCAUGGGGCACGAGGAAUCCCAUGUGAAUCAGCGAGGACCAUCUCGUAAGGCUAAAUACUACUGUGUGACCGAUAGUGAACCAGUACCGCGAGGGAAAGGUGAAAAGAACCCCGGAAGGGGAGUGAAAUAGAACAUGAAACCGUAAGCUUACAAGCAGUGGGAGGACGAUUGAACGUCUGACCGCGUGCCUGUUGAAGAAUGAGCCGGCGACUUAUAGGCACUGGUAGGUUAAGGCGAGAAUGCCGGAGCCAAAGGGAAACCGAGUCUGAAAAGGGCGCUCAAUCAGUGUUUAUAGACCCGAACCCUGGUGAUCUAACCAUGGCCAGGAUGAAGCUUGGGUAACACCAAGUGGAGGUCCGAACCGACUGAUGUUGAAAAAUCAGCGGAUGAGCUGUGGUUAGGGGUGAAAUGCCAAUCGAACCAGGAGCUAGCUGGUUCUCCCCGAAAUGUGUUUAGGCGCAGCGGUAAUGAUUAAAUCUGGGGGGUAAAGCACUGUUUCGGUGCGGGCUGGGAGACCGGUACCAAAUCGAGACAAACUCAGAAUACCCAGAGAACACAUUGCCAGUGAGACAGUGGGGGAUAAGCUUCAUUGUCAAGAGGGAAACAGCCCAGACCACCAGCUAAGGUCCCCAAAUCAUCACUAAGUGAUAAAGGAGGUGGGAUUGCAUAGACAACUAGGAGGUUUGCCUAGAAGCAGCCAACCUUAAAAGAGUGCGUAAUAGCUCACUAGUCAAGCGAUCCUGCGCCGAAAAUGAACGGGGCUAAGUGAUGUACCGAAGCUGUGGGAUUAAUCUAGUAUUAAUCGGUAGGGGAGCGUUCCGUAAUAGGUAGAAGCAGUAGCGGCGAGCAGCUGUGGACGAAACGGAAGUGAGAAUGUCGGCUUGAGUAGCGCAAACAUUGGUGAGAAUCCAAUGCCCCGAAACCCUAAGGGUUCCUCCGCCAGGUUCGUCCACGGAGGGUUAGUCGGGUCCUAAGGCGAGGUCGAAGGGCGUAGUCGAUGGACACAGGGUGAAUAAUCCCUGACUACUAUGUGGGAGCAUUGCGAGGGACGCAUGAAAGAUAGCCAUACCCUGAUUGGUUUGGGAGGAGUUUACGAACUCCGCGUGGUGAAGGAUAGUGUCAAGAAAAGCUCGUAAUGUGAUGAAAACAUAGUACCCGUACCCGAAACCGACACAGGUAGGGAGGUUGAGAAUACCAAGGGGCGCGAGAUAACUCUCUCUAAGGAACUCGGCAAAAUGGCCCCGUAACUUCGGGAGAAGGGGUGCCCACCUCAGACGUGGGUCGCAGUGAAGAGAUCCAGGCGACUGUUUACCAAAAACACAGGUCUCCGCCAACUCGAAAGAGGACGUAUGGGGGCUGACGCCUGCCCAGUGCCGGAAGGUUAAGGAAGUUGGUCAGGGGUUCGCCUUGAAGCUGACGACCGAAGCCCCGGUGAACGGCGGCCGUAACUAUAACGGUCCUAAGGUAGCGAAAUUCCUUGUCGGGUAAGUUCCGACCCGCACGAAAGGCGUAACGAUCUGGAUGGUGUCUCAGAGAGAGACUCGGCGAAAUAG
rnacentral:ncRNA from 1 species